AACGAACGCUGGCGGCGCGCUUAACACAUGCAAGUCGAACGAGAAGGCGUAGCAAUACGCUUGUAUAGUGGCGAACGGGUGAGGAAUACGUGGGUGACCUACCCUCGAGUGGGGAAUAACCCGCCGAAAGGCGGGCUAAUGCCGCGUACGCUUCCGUCCUCGCGGGGACGGAAGGAAAGUCAUGCCGUGGGCAUGGCGCUCAAGGAUGGGCUCACGUCCUAUCAGCUUGUUGGAGGGUAACGGCCUACCAAGGCUCCGACGGGUAGCUGGUCUGAGAGGACGAUCAGCCACACUGGCACUGCGACACGGGCCAGACUCCUACGGGAGGCAGCAGUGAGGAAUAUUGCGCAAUGGGCGAAAGCCUGACGCAGCGACGCCGCGUGGGGGAUGGAAGGUC
rnacentral:rRNA from 1 species